rnacentral:rRNA from 1 species
AUACGGAGGGUGCAAGCGUUAAUCGGAAUUACUGGGCGUAAAGCGUAGGUAGGCGGUCCGUUAAGUUAGAUGUGAAAGCCCCGGGCUUAACCUGGGAACUGCAUUUAAAACUGGCGGACUAGAGUUGAGUAGAGGGGAGUGGAAUUUCAGGUGUAGCGGUGAAAUGCGUAGAGAUCUGAAGGAACACCAGUGGCGAAGGCGACUCCCUGGACUCGAACUGACGCUGAGGUACGAAAGCGUGGGUAGCAAACGGGAUUAGAAACCCCAGUAGUCC